UAAUGAGGUAAUCAAUGGGAGGGUGGGAGGGUGGUCAGUAAAAAUCCAGCCCCCGUUUUCAAGUGAAGAUGAUAGUGCUGAGGGGAAGCAAGCGAACUCCUCAACACACCUGCUGCAGGAACACCUGGAGUCCCACUGAGCUUCCUCUCCAAGCUCCUGCAGACAUUCACAUCUGCACGAGGAUAUUCUCCGUUUGUAAAUGGCGCUACGCAUAAUGCUGUCUGGAAGAAGAGCCAGUGCUUCACGACGAAUAUCUUACACUGUGCCGUCAUUAAGGGAGACAGCUAUUAAGUACAGAAAAUGUACAGUGUGCAAAGAAUGACAAGAAAGGGUACAGUAUACAGGUCACAACUAGAGAAAGCAUGACAAGGCUGAGGAAACAAACAGCAAAAGCACUUCUAAGAAAUACAGUUUGAACAUGAGCAUAACAUCAGAACAGCAACAAAGAAGACUGCGUGUAGGGUUUUUACAACACAAUGAUCACAUAGAUAAAGUGUC